GUGGGGAAUAUUGGACAAUGGGCGAAAGCCUGAUCCAGCCAUGCCGCGUGAGUGAUGAAGGCCUUAGGGUUGUAAAGCUCUUUCAGUAGGGAAGAUAAUGACGGUACCUACAGAAGAAGCCCCGGCUAACUUCGUGCCAGCAGCCGCGGUAAUACGAAGGGGGCUAGCGUUGUUCGGAUUUACUGGGCGUAAAGCGCACGUAGGCGGAUUGGUCAGUUAGAGGUGAAAUCCUGGAGCUCAACUCCAGAACUACCUUUAAUACUGCCAGUCUAGAGUCCAGAAGAGGUGAGUGGAACUCCUAGUGUAGAGGUGGAAUUCGUAGAUAUUAGGAAGAACACCAGUGGCGAAGGCGGCUCACUGGUCUGGUACUGACGCUGAGGUGCGAAAGCGUGGGGAGCAAACAGGAUUAGAAACCCUUGUAGUCC
rnacentral:rRNA from 1 species